CACGUAGGGACCAAGCGUUGUCCGGAUUCAUUGGGCGUAAAGAGCUCGUAGGCGGUUCGAUAAGUCGGGUGUGAAACCUCCAGGCUCAACCUGGAGACGCCACCCGAUACUGUCGUGACUAGAGUCCAGUAGGGGAGCGUGGAAUUCCUGGUGUAGCGGUGAAAUGCGCAGAUAUCAGGAGGAACACCGGUGGCGAAGGCGCCACUCUGGGCCGAAACUGACGCUGAGGAGCGAAAGCGUGGGUAGCAAACAGG
rnacentral:rRNA from 1 species